rnacentral:misc_RNA from 1 species
GAUGAAGAACGCAGUGAAAUGCGAUACUUGGUGUGAAUUGCAGAAUCCCGUGAACCAUCGAGUCUUUGAACGCAAGUUGCGCCCGAAGCCAUUAGGCCGAGGGCACGCCUGCCUGGGCGUCACACGUCGUUGCCCCCCCAUCUACUCCUUCGGGAUUGCGGGGGGCGGAUGAUGACCUCUCGUGCGCCGCGUCGCGCGGUUGGCCUAAAUGCCAAGUCCUCGGCGACGCACGCCACGACAAUCGGUGGUUGCGAAACCUCGGUUGCCUGUCGUGUGCGGUCGUCGCGCAUCGAGGGCUCGAAAAAAUUGCCGGGCUUCGGCUCGACUUUCAACGCGACCCCAGGUCAGGCGGGGUUACCCGCUGAAUUUAAGCAUAUCAAUAAGCGGAGGA